GACCGUCGGGGAGGGAGAGGACCCUCAUGAGGACAGAGGUCCUCGUUAGGGCAGUGUGCUUGUGGAGGGAGGUCUCUGGGGGAGGAAGGGCCUAGAGUGGUGGGAGAAGAGGGGCAGGCAGGUGCUUGUGGGAUAAAAAAAACUCUGGGGGGGGACUUGUAUUAAUAGAAGGGGUGGAAGGGUCAGGGGUGCCUGUGUGUUUUAAGAAGGGUCCUGCUUAAGGGUCCAUUUAGGGAGAGAUUGGGCUCAGGAAGAUGACCAAGCUGGCACACAGGGUUCCUGGUACAAUUCCCUUGGAGGAAUAUUUACAUAAAUUAGACUAACAUAGAGGAAUUAUUUGCUUGACAUUGUAAAACACCAGAUCUGAGUGUUUCCCUUUAAUUAAACCUGACACUCUCCCAGCAUCCCAUCCCUGGGAAAUCAGUUGCUCGUUCAUUCUUCUGACAAGUACAGGCACCCAGGGGGACAGGCCCACAGGACCACUGCCAGACCCCCAGGCGGGUGGCGAGGGCCGCGACAGGCCUGAACACACGGGCCCUGCUCUGUGUGCAGGGAAAGAAGAGCAGAGCAAGGUGCAGGAAGUGCCCUGUGCCCUCUCCUUUGGCUUAGCUUCCUGCCCGCUACUGGCCCUGCUUCCCUCUUUGUCUUUGUUGUCGCCAGUGUUUUAGGUGGAUCCCUGAGUAUUUAUUUUCUGGGAUUCUUUUGGAUGGGGAUGACAGAAAGCCAGCCCAGACUGACUCCAACAAACAAGGGUGUUUAUUGGCUCCCGCGCCCCAAAGUCCAGGGCAUCUUCCUGGCCCCUGACUCCCUUUCCCUGGGGCAGCCUGGGGCAGCACACACUCCACCCCACCCACCUAACACCGGCCCUAAGACUGACCACAUGGGCUGGGGGGACAAGAGCAAACCCGGCUGGCCCAGAGGACAGUUGAGUGCUGGGACCAGGGUGACAGAUGGAGGUGGGCAGGCAAACACAGCAGAGGGAGUCAGCCCAGGUUUCUUACCCUGACUUGCUCCCAUCAGCCACAAGACAGGAGAAGGAGCAGGGGCCCUCCAGAAAAGCUCUGGUGGUCCUGGGCCCACUGCACCUUCUAGAAGCUCUCCAGGUGCUUUCCUGGGCUGGCCUGCCUGUGAUCACCCUACUCCUGUCCAAGAGGACGUUCAUAUUCAGUGACCAACUCAGAGUCCAGCCUGCUUUCCAGAGUCUGCUGGGGCAGCUGUGAACUGCCCCGACUGAUUACCUGCCUGAAGCUUCAGCAGCGUGGCUGGAAAUCCUGGCCCAGACCUGGGAUCUCACCACCCUAGAACGGGCAAGAGGAAGCAGCUGUCAAGGUGGAGAAGCCUCACUCUCCUGGAAGAACGGCAAGAGUGAUAGUGCCAGCUGGCCGAGACCACCAGCCACCACACCCUCCCAGGCCUGCUGUCCUCGCCCCAGACCAGGGGUGAGGGUGGAGUGAGUUUCACAGAUCCAGGUUCUGGGGUGGGGGUGGGAGCCGGUUUCUAUAAGUGAGCAGCUCACGGAGAAUCACUGAGAAGGGAGGCAGACGGGCGUCCGUAUGCUGCAAGUUUUCCCUCUCCCCGGUGACUGUCAGCCCUCACCCGGGCAGAUGCGGGACCAGGGAGGACGGUGGCCAUGGACAUCCCCAGCACCCCAGCUCUGGACCGGAGCAUCCGCUGCCCUGCGUGCCAGCGACGGGCCCUCGUGCACACAGUGUGCUGAGCCGGGCCAGAGGCAGGGGUGACUUCAGAGCCAGAAUCUGGCCCUGCCGAGCUGCUGCCCCUGGCCCCGGGUCAGCCCCCGUCGGGAUGGGCAGCUCGGGAGGAAAGGGCUGGAAGCAGGGAGCAUGCAUGUGCACGCCUUCAUCAGCUUAUUUUUAGUUGCCUUAUGUAAGUGGCUUCAUCUCAACGUCACAUGGGGGGGUCUCAGAUUUAAUUACAGGAUGACAGCCUUUGCUUUUCAAGCAAGCUGUUCUACUGGCAAGGCAGGCACAGGAUUUGCGAGUUUUUGCUCAGCAGAAGGAGCCCUCUCUGAGGCGUCCACUCCGCAAAGCUUGAGCCGAGUUCACCUCACCGCCCUCUCCCUGGCCAGCCUGCCCCGGCUCUGGCUGAGCCCGGCCUGAGAGGGCAGCCUGUGUCCCAGACCCGGGGACAUUCUCUGCCCGUCCCCGAGCUUCCUCUCACCCGUCCCCUCCCUCCCACCCCGCUGCUUGGCAGCCUCACCUUCUAAGAGAAGGAGCCACCAAUGAACUCCUCUCCCCUUUCUUCACUCCUAGAUUAAAGCACUGUAAUCAGGAACCAGAAUGUUCCAGGGCAGAGAAACCAGAGGGUGCUGGAGCUCUCAGGCAGGCUCCUUCCCCUUCCCCCACCCCGUCCCGCCCCAUCCACCGGUCUCGUGCUGCUCCCCCCACGCCAGGCACCGUGGGCCACUGGACCUGGGCCAGGGUCACCCGGUGAAACUGUCCAUGUUGUGUCCGGAGCGCUGUUUUCCCACGUCCUGGACGGGAUGGACGUCCCUGCGUUCUCUCGGUGUUAUUGGCAAGAAAGGGCCAAGGCGCAGGCCGUGAGCCCCGGCUCCAGAGUCCCACUUCCUGCGGGCAGGAGGCCACUGUGGCCGCCUCCGGUGCACUGUGGCUUUGUCCAGUGUAAAAGGCAGAGCCGCGUGUCCGCUGCCGGCUGUGUCCCGCAGGGCGUAAGGACAGGGAAAGCUCCGACGCGGCCGAGCCGGGUGUGCGGCUGCGGGGGGAGGUGCCGAGUCCAGAGCUGGUCACUGGCGGCAGAGCGGGGUUCGCAGCCCCCAGAGCCCCCCGCGCGGAGGGGCAGGAUGCACAGCGUCGCUGGGAGGACGGAGCUGAGGCACAAAUCCACGCAAAAAACACUGAGAACUAAAUGUGGCGUGUGGUGAGCUCCCGGUAAGUCCUAGAGAUCGUUACUGUCAUCGCUGCCCAGACAGGACGAUUCUCAGGAGCCCCCCGUGCACUCCAGAGGCUGACCGUUGGAAAGUCGAGGGACCUGCCCCUGCCCCUUCGUGGGGCUGUGCACAGGGACCUCCUUCCUUCCCGAGAGCCCAGCGCAGAGAAGCCUGACCAGGGCGGGUGACCACGGCAGCACCACCAGUGAGAGGCCACGUGGGCGGCCUGGACCCCCGUGGGCGGCCUGGACCCCCGACAGGCUGUGACGAGAGGGGCGCCUCACCUCUGCAGUCUCCCCCCGAGGACCCGUAACCCCCGUCUGAUGAGAGAAACGCCAGGCGAGUCCCGGCUGGGGACGUUCCACGAAACUCCUGACCGGCGUUCCUCAAAACCGCCAGCGUCACGAAAACCAGCGAAGUCUGAGCAGCUGUCCCAGCCAAGAGGAGGCGAGAGGGCUCAGUGUCACGUGGGAUCCUGGGACAGAAAGAGGACUGUAGGGGAAACUGAGGAAGUAGGAAUACAGUGCGGGUGUAUCAAGGUAGCAGUAUUGGUUCCUCACUCUUAGCCAAGAGCAGAAACGGGGUGUGAGGUCCUGCCGAGGUGACUUCGUGAAUCCCGAACUGCUCUAGCGUUAACCCUGGCGAGGGGGGGGACGGUGACCCUGGCACAAGCCCCCAGUCGGGCUUGCGGGGGCCUGGAGGUCCCUGUGCCUCGCCCCGUAUCUGGUCCUGGCCCCGGAUGCCCCUCUGCCCACUGUGGGGUCAGCGAUGGAGCAGUUGCCCAGGUUCUCGUGCCCUUGACCCCUUGACCCGGCGUGGCUCAGUGGCUCCUUCCCUAAAGCCACAGCGAUGGCCACGUUCCCGCCCUCACCUGGGGGGCACUCGGGCAGCCUGGGAAGGUCAGGGAGGCACCCGGGUGUGGCUUCCCAGGGACCCUUCCUGACCCGGCACCGCUGGGGCCCGGCCUCGGCCCUCGCAGUGAGGCGGGGUGGCCUAGGAAUUCCGCAGAGCUUUUCCUACAGACCAGGCCGGCAGGGCCGGCAAGUGCAGGGGACCAGGAGACGCGGCCUCCCUGCCGGGCCUGCCCUGCUGCCAGGGUGGGUGGCAGAGGUUCCCCGGCAACGGGCCCCCUUACAUAAGCUGGCGCGCAUCGUGUGGCGUGACUCCAGGUGCCCGUGGGAGGCAGCGCGGGGGCGCGCGCAGGGGCGCGAACGAGUCUCAAACUUUCGCUCGGGUGUUGCUCCCCCUCUUAUUAUAUUCCAGCGUCAUCCUGCGUCUGCCAGCUCGGUCACCCACUUGCUUAUUAGAAUACAUUAACUGACAAUGCGGAUUUAAAUAACUUGGGCAGGUGACAGGCCUCCAGGGUACCUGGUACCUGCCCAGGUGAGGCAGGGAGGACCAGGGGCCGGGACGGGAACAGACAGCUCGCUGCGCGGCCCCUGGUCUGCAUCUACGGCUGGGAUGGGGCAGCCGUGGGAAACCCGCCCCACCCGGGCCACUCGCUGUCUCAUGGCUGAGCCCGGCGUGUGCCUGGUCGGCAGCGACCGUCGGCGGGAAGUCUAAACAGCCUGGCGCCCGUCAGAGCGGGCCCUUCCGUAGGUGAGGACACGGAGCGCCGCGGGCAGGGCCGUGUGCACGUGUCCUCCCCAUGCGCUGCGGGCUCGGCGGUCAGCCCAGUGCCCUGCUCCGUGCUCCCUGCGAUCAUUCUUCCUUUAUCCCCUGAGACACGUCCUUGUUUUCUUAUCACUCCGCCUCUUCCGUGACUUAAGCUGCCUCGAGAGUGAUCUGAAAGGUGUUUUUGGACGGGAGCGAGGGAAUCUGUUCUCCAGAGUCUGGACUUGGAGGACACCUGGCAACCUGAGCGCGUCCCGCGGGCCCCUCCAGACAGGAGACGGCAGAGCUGUACCUGCAGGGGCGCCCCGCACGCCGCCGGAGAAGCCCAGACGCUGCCAUGCGGCGCAGAUGGCUUCCCCGCCCGGCCCGGCUGCUUCUAAUUUCAGCUGCAGGAGGCUCCGCGCCCGCUCGCGCUCCCUCUUUUUUAUUCUGUGUUUAUUUAAAGCCAGAUUUUGAAAUGUUGUCUCCA